rnacentral:tRNA from 1 species
CCCGCUCGGCGCGGGGCGGCCCCGCUCGGCGCGGGGCGGCCCCGCUCGGCGCGGGGCGGCCCCGCUCGGCGCGGGGUGCGGGCC